rnacentral:rRNA from 12 species
AAAUAUCGGAGCCAUAGCGAAAGCGAGUUUUAAUAGAGCGUUUGUCACUAUUUACAGACCCGAACCCGGAUGAUCUAGUCAUGACCAGGAUGAAGCUUAAGUAACACUAAGUGGAGGUCCGAACCGACUGAUGUUGAAAAAUCAACGGAUGAGUUGUGAUUAGGGGUGAAAUGCCAAUCGAAUCCGGAGCUAGCUGGAUCUCCUCGAAAUGCGUUUUGGCGCAGCGGUUAAUUUCAGUAACUUAGGGGUAAAGCACUGUUUCGGUGCGGGCUGUGAAAACGGUACUAAAUCGAUGCAAACUCUGAAUACUAAGUUAUAAUUAACCAGUGAGACAGUGGGGGAUAAGCUUCAUUGUCAAAAGGGAAACAGCCCAGACUACCAGCUAAGGCCCCUAAGUAAUUGCUAAGUGGUAAAGGAGGUGGGAAUGCUUAGACAGCCAGGAGGU